rnacentral:rRNA from 1 species
CUUGCACCGUGGAUUAGUGGCGAACGGGUGAGUAACACGUGAGCAACCUGCCCUGGACUCUGGGAUAAGCGCUGGAAACGGUGUCUAAUACUGGAUAUGAGCUCUCAUCGCAUGGUGGGGGUUGGAAAGAUUUUUUGGUCUGGGAUGGGCUCGCGGCCUAUCAGCUUGUUGGUGAGGUAAUGGCUUACCAAGGCGUCGACGGGUAGCCGGCCUGAGAGGGUGACCGGCCACACUGGGACUGAGACACGGCCCAGACUCCUACGGGAGGCAGCAGUGGGGAAUAUUGCACAAUGGGCGGAAGCCUGAUGCAGCAACGCCGCGUGAGGGAUGACGGCCUUCGGGUUGUAAACCUCUUUUAGCAGGGAAGAAGCGUGAGUGACGGUACCUGCAGAAAAAGCGCCGGCUAACUACGUGCCAGCAGCCGCGGUAAUACGUAGGGCGCAAGCGUUAUCCGGAAUUAUUGGGCGUAAAGAGCUCGUAGGCGGUUUGUCGCGUCUGCUGUGAAAUCCCGAGGCUCAACCUCGGGUCUGCAGUGGGUACGGGCAGACUAGAGUGCGGUAGGGGAGAUUGGAAUUCCUGGUGUAGCGGUGGAAUGCGCAGAUAUCAGGAGGAACACCGAUGGCGAAGGCAGAUCUCUGGGCCGUAACUGACGCUGAGGAGCGAAAGGGUGGGGAGCAAACAGGCUUAGAUACCCUGGUAGUCCACCCCGUAAACGUUGGGAACUAGUUGUGGGGACCAUUCCACGGUUUCCGUGACGCAGCUAACGCAUUAAGUUCCCCGCCUGGGGAGUACGGCCGCAAGGCUAAAACUCAAAGGAAUUGACGGGGACCCGCACAAGCGGCGGAGCAUGCGGAUUAAUUCGAUGCAACGCGAAGAACCUUACCAAGGCUUGACAUACACCAGAACACCGUAGAAAUACGGGACUCUUUGGACACUGGUGAACAGGUGGUGCAUGGUUGUCGUCAGCUCGUGUCGUGAGAUGUUGGGUUAAGUCCCGCAACGAGCGCAACCCUCGUUCUAUGUUGCCAGCACGUUAUGGUGGGAACUCAUGGGAUACUGCCGGGGUCAACUCGGAGGAAGGUGGGGAUGACGUCAAAUCAUCAUGCCCCUUAUGUCUUGGGCUUCACGCAUGCUACAAUGGCCGGUACAAAGGGCUGCAAUACCGUGAGGUGGAGCGAAUCCCAAAAAGCCGGUCCCAGUUCGGAUUGAGGUCUGCAACUCGACCUCAUGAAGUCGGAGUCGCUAGUAAUCGCAGAUCAGCAACGCUGCGGUGAAUACGUUCCCGGGUCUUGUACACACCGCCCGUCAAGUCAUGAAAGUCGGUAACACCUGAAGCCGG